rnacentral:rRNA from 1 species
CCUACGGGUGGCAGCAGUGGGGGAUAUUGCACAAUGGGGGGAACCCUGAUGCAGCGACGCCGCGUGGGGGAAGGAGUGCUUCGGCAUGUAAAGCCCUAUCGGCAGGGAAGAAGCAAGACGGUACCUGACUAAGAAGCCCCGGCUAACUACGUGCCAGCAGCCGCGGUAAGACGUAGGGGGCGAGCGUUAUCCGGAUUCACGGGGUGUAAAGGGAGCGUAGGCGGCCAAGCAAGCCAGGGGUGAAAGCCCGGGGCUCAACCCCGGGACUGCCGUUGGAACUGGAUGGCUUGAGUGCGGUAGGGGCAGGCGGAAUGCCUGGUGUAGCGGUGAAAUGCGUAGAUAUCAGGAAGAACCCCGGCGGCGAAGGCGGCCUGCUGGACCGCGACUGACGUUGAGGCUCGAAAGCGUGGGGAGCGAACAGGAUUAGAUACCCCUGUAGUC